rnacentral:sRNA from 1 species
UCUCGGAGCUCCCCGACUUUGACGUCGGC